rnacentral:rRNA from 1 species
AUUGAACGCUGGCGGCAUGCUUUACACAUGCAAGUCGAACGGUAACAGCACUUCGGUGGCUGACGAGUGGCGAACGGGUGAGUAAUACAUCGGAACGUGCCUAGUAGUGGGGGAUAACUACUCGAAAGAGUAGCUAAUACCGCAUGAGAUCUAAGGAUGAAAGCAGGGGACCUUCGGGCCUUGCGCUACUAGUGCGGCUGAUGGCAGAUUAGGUAGUUGGUGGGAUAAAAGCUUACCAAGCCGACGAUCUGUAGCUGGUCUGAGAGGACGACCAGCCACACUGGGACUGAGACACGGCCCAGACUCCUACGGGAGGCAGCAGUGGGGAAUUUUGGACAAUGGGCGCAAGCCUGAUCCAGCAAUGCCGCGUGCAGGAUGAAGGCCUUCGGGUUGUAAACUGCUUUUGUACGGAACGAAAAGCCCUCUUCUAAUACAGGAGGGUCAUGACGGUACCGUAAGAAUAAGCACCGGCUAACUACGUG